rnacentral:tRNA from 1 species
GGUUCCGUAGUGUAGUGGUUUCACGUUCGCUUCACACGCGAAAAGGGCUCCGGUUCGGGUCCCGGAAGGGAAACCA